UAGGGAAUCUUCCGCAAUGGACGCAAGUCUGACGGAGCAACGCCGCGUGAGUGAAGAAGGAUUUCGGUUCGUAAAACUCUGUUGUUAGAGAAGAACAGCGCAUAGAGUAACUGUUAUGCGUGUGACGGUAUCUAACCAGAAAGCCACGGCUAACUACGUGCCAGCAGCCGCGGUAAUACGUAGGUGGCAAGCGUUGUCCGGAUUUAUUGGGCGUAAAGCGAGCGCAGGCGGUCAAUUAAGUCUGAUGUGAGAGCCCCCGGCUCAACCGGGGAGGGUGAUUGGAAACUGGUGGACUUGGGUGAAGAAGAGGAGAGUGGAAUUCCAUGUGUAACGGUGAAAUGCGUGGGUAUAUGGAGAAAAACGAGUGGCGAAGGCGACUCUCUGGUCUGUAACUGACGCUGAGGCUCGAAAGCGUGGGUAGCAAACAGG
rnacentral:rRNA from 1 species